UACGUAGGUGACCAGCGUUGUCCGGAUUUACUGGGCGUAAAGAGCGCGCAGGCGGUCGUUCAAGUCGAGUGUGAAAGCCCCCGGCUCAACUGGGGAGGGUCACUCGAUACUGAUCGACUCGAAGGCAGGAGAGGGAAGUGGAAUUCCCGGUGUAGUGGUGAAAUGCGUAGAUAUCGGGAGGAACACCAGUGGCGAAGGCGACUACCUGGCCUGUUCUUGACGCUGAGGCGCGAAAGCUAGGGGAGCAAACGGG
rnacentral:rRNA from 1 species